AAUGUUUGGCCUUAGAAGAUUAAGGAAAAAAAAAGAGAUUGGGAAAGGAGGACAGGUGGAAAAUCGUAGGCAAGAGAAAGAAAUGGACAGAGGUACAUGGGCUGCAGAUUAGCAAAGUGUGCGCUGUCCUUUGUUGCACAGGUUCUCCUCAGAGGCCCAACGCUAGAGAGGCCAAUAUCUAGGCCUGCGGAUCAAAUUCCCCAACGGGCCUCAGCGAAUAAAGCUGGGCUCGGUAAUUGGGCCUCCUCUUGGUCCAGCAACGCUUCCGUAUCUCACUCAACAGAUCGAAUCGUAGCCGCAAUCUCCCGAUCCAACGGUCAGAAAUACCCCAGGCCGGGACGGUAAGUGAAAUACCGUUCACCCCGAGCCUCUCUGGCGCGCGCCACGGUGCUCGCCGCGCCGUCGCGCUCGGCAUCGCCGGCGCCCGCGACGCAGCAGCACCCUCCCCUAGUGUCAUCUCAGCAGCCUUCGGCCCCGCCUGCUCCCCUUGCCGCGCUCCUCCACUCGCCUCCACUUGCGGCGGCCGAUGUCUUCCCGCGCCGCCCGGGGCGACACCGCGCAGCCCCGUCGCGCUGCGCGGCUGCCUGCUGGUGUGUGGCAGGUGGCGAGCAGUUGGGCAACCGAUCAUCGCAUCGCCGGCCGACUGGCGUGCUUGGUCGAAAUCAGUGCUCGCGUUGCGCUGCAUGCUGGGUGUUUGUCAGAAUGCCUGCCUGGCGUCCUCCCUUUUCAGCAGCAGCACUAGCUAGCUGGGGCUGAGAGAAGCAAGGGCACCCGAUGGCCUGCCGUCCCAGACCAUGCAUUUUCAUCUCCUCCAAUCGGUACAUUCUCGUCCUCACACCAAAAUUGAUGGAUGGAUUUGAUGAUCUCGAAUAAUUUCAUUUGGCUGUCACAUCCAUCUCGUUCUAGUGCCUUCCAGUGUGCAGCAGCAUCAACCUUAGCUAGAUCAGUAAUUUACGGAUGCUUUUGCAUUCAGGACAAAACUACAGUUGCAUUGUGCCCACAAAGCCUGCCAUAACUUGCUUGUUCAGUUAACAACCACAAACACAUAUCAAAUUUUGUGAAUCACAUAGUGUGAAUGUUCCAAGGAAACAAACACUGCCACCAAUAAUGUUCUUGCCUGCUUCUUGAAAACAUAUAUAGUUAAUAGCCAGUGCUGCCCCCAAAAUUGUGUGGCUGCGAGUUGUAAUUCUGAAAAUGAGCUCAUGGAGCUCUUCUUCCGAUA